GAAAGGCCUGCAGCUUGCUGCGGGUACUCGAGUGGCGAACGGGUGAGUAACACGUGGGUGAUCUGCCUUGCACUUCGGGAUAAGCUUGGGAAACUGGGUCUAAUACCGGAUAGGACAGCUGUUUAGUGUCAGUUGUGGAAAGUUUUUUCGGUGCAAGAUGAGCUCGCGGCCUAUCAGCUUGUUGGUGGGGUAAUGGCCUACCAAGGCGUCGACGGGUAGCCGGCCUGAGAGGGUGUACGGCCACAUUGGGACUGAGAUACGGCCCAGACUCCUACGGGAGGCAGCAGUGGGGAAUAUUGCACAAUGGGCGGAAGCCUGAUGCAGCGACGCCGCGUGGGGGAUGAAGGCCUUCGGGUUGUAAACUCCUUUCGACAGGGACGAAGCGUAAGUGACGGUACCUGUAUAAGAAGCACCGGCUAACUACGUGCCAGCAGCCGCGGUAAUACGUAGGGUGCGAGCGUUGUCCGGAAUUACUGGGCGUAAAGAGCUCGUAGGUGGUUUGUCGCGUCGUCUGUGAAAUUCCGGGGCUUAACUCCGGGCGUGCAGGCGAUACGGGCUGACUUGAGUGCUGUAGGGGAGACUGGAAUUCCUGGUGUAGCGGUGAAAUGCGCAGAUAUCAGGAGGAACACCGAUGGCGAAGGCAGGUCUCUGGGCAGUAACUGACGCUGAGGAGCGAAAGCAUGGGUAGCGAACAGGAUUAGAUACCCUGGUAGUCCAUGCCGUAAACGGUGGGCGCUAGGUGUAGGGGGCUUCCACGUCUUCUGUGCCGUAGCUAACGCAUUAAGCGCCCCGCCUGGGGAGUACGCCGCAAGGCUA
rnacentral:rRNA from 1 species